rnacentral:rRNA from 1 species
AGUAAAUAGAUACCCGGGUAGUCCACGCCGUAAACGAUGAGUACUAGGUGUAGGAGGUAUCGACUCCUUCUGUGCCGCAGUUAAACACAAUAAGUACUCCGCCUGGGAAGUACGGUCGCAAGAUUAAAACUCAAAGGAAUUGACGGGGGCCCGCACAAGCAGCGGAGCAUGUGGUUUAAAUUCGAAGCAACGCGAAGAACCUUACCUAGACUUGACAUCUCCUGAAUAGUGUAGAGAUACAUGAAGCCCUUCGGGGUCAGGAAGACAGGUGGUGCAUGGUUGUCGUCAGCUCGUGUCGUGAGAUGUUGGGUUAAGUCCCGCAACGAGCGCAACCCUUAUUACUAGUUGCUACCAUUAAGUUGAGCACUCUAGUGAGACUGCCCGGGUUAACCGGGAGGAA